rnacentral:snRNA from 1 species
GUGCUUGCUUUGGCAGCACAUAAAAGUGGAAUGAUAUAGAGAACAUUAGCAUGUCCCUUGUGUGAGGAUGACCUGCAAAUUUAUGAAGCAUUCCAUAUUUUU